GCUGGCGGCAUGCUUAACACAUGCAAGUCGAACGGUAGCAGGCCCUUCGGGGUGCUGACGAGUGGCGGACGGGUGAGUAACGCGUAGGAAUCUGCCCUUAUAGUGGGGGACAACCUGGGGAAACUCAGGCUAAUACCGCAUACGUCUUACGAGAGAAAGCGGGGGACCUUUCGGGGCCUCGCGCUGUAGGAUGAGCCUACGUCGGAUUAGCUAGUUGGUAGGGUAAAGGCCUACCAAGGCGACGAUCCGUAGCUGGUCUGAGAGGAUGAUCAGCCACACUGGGACUGAGACACGGCCCAGACUCCUACGGGAGGCAGCAGUGGGGAAUAUUGGACAAUGGGCGCAAGCCUGAUCCAGCAAUGCCGCGUGGGUGAAGAAGGCCUGCGGGUUGUAAAGCCCUUUUAGUGGGGAGGAAGCAGGUGAUGUGAAUAGCAUCACUGAAAGACGUUACCCACAGAAAAAGCACCGGCUAACUCCGUGCCAGCAGCCGCGGUAAUACGGAGGG
rnacentral:rRNA from 1 species